rnacentral:sRNA from 1 species
GAGAAAUUGUGUAGCCUUCAUGCCCCCAGCGGAACAGAACCCGGCCCCCCUGGCCCAGCCAGAGCCUCUGGUGUGGGUCAGCAAGUGGGUUGACUACUCCAAUAAGUUCGGCUUUGGGUAUCAACUGUCCAGCCGCCGUGUGGCUGUGCUCUUCAACGAUGGCACACAUAUGGCCCUGUCGGCCAACAGAAAGACUGUGCACUACAAUCCCACCAGCACAAAGCACUUCUCCUUCUCCGUGGGUGCUGUGCCCCGGGCCCUGCAGCCUCAGCUGGGUAUCCUGCGGUACUUCGCCUCCUACAUGGAGCAGCACCUCAUGAAGGUGUGAGGGCUGGGGCUGUGGUACAUUGAAAACUAACCCAUCCUGGCCGGGUGCGGUGGCUCACGCCUGUAAUCCCAGCACUUUGGGAGGCCGAGGCGGGUGGAUCAUGAGGUCAGGAGAUCGAGACCAUCCUGGCUAACAAGGUGAAACCCCGUCUCUACUAAAAAUACAACAAAUUAGCCGGGCGUGGUGGCGGGCGCCUGUAGUCCCAGCUACUCGGGAGGCUGAGGCAGGAGAAUGGGUGAACCCAGGAGGCGGAGCUUGCAGUGAGCAGAGAUGGCACACCAUUGCACUCCAGCCUGGGCGACAGAGCGAGACUCCAUCUCAAAAAAAAAAAUAAAGAAA